GGUCUCGUAAUUGGAAUGAGUACAAUCAAAAUCCCUUAACGAGGAACAAUUGGAGGGCAAGUCUGGUGCCAGCAGCCGCGGUAAUUCCAGCUCCAAUAGCGUAUAUUAAAGUUGUUGUGGUUAAAAAGCUCGUAGUCGAACCUUGGGCCUGGCUGGCCGGUCCCCCUCACCGGGUGCACUGAUCCAGCCGGGCCUUUCCCUCUGUGGAACCCCAUGGCCUUCACUGGCUGUGUGGGGGAAACAGGACUUUUACUGUGAAAAAAUUAGAGUGCUCCAGGCAGGCCUAUGCUCGAAUACAUUAGCAUGGAAUAAUAGAAUAGGACGUGUGGUUCUAUUUUGUUGGUUUCUAGGACCGCCGUAAUGAUUAAUAGGGACAGUCGGGGGCAUCAGUAUUCAAUUGUCAGAGGUGAAAUUCUUGGAUCUAUUGAAGACUAACUACUGCGAAAGCAUUUGCCAAGGAUGUUUUCAUUGAUAAGGAACGAAAGUUAGGGGAUCGAAGACGAUCAGAUACCGUCGUAGUCUUAACUAUAAACUAUGCCGACUAGGGAUCGGACGAUGUUAUUUCUUGACGCGUUCGGCACCUUUCGAGAAAUCAAAGUGCUUGGGCUCCAGGGGGAGUAUGGUCGCAAGGCUGAAACUUAAAGAAAUUGACGGAAGGGCACCACCAGGGGUGGAACCUGCGGCUUAAUUUGACCCAACACGGGGAAACUCACCAGGUCCAGACACAGUGAGGAUUGACAGAUUGAGAGCUCUUUCUUGAUUCUGUGGGUGGUGGUGCAUGGCCGUUCUUAGUUGGUGGAGUGAUUUGUCUGCUUAAUUGCGAUAACGAACGAGACCUUAACCUGCUAAAUAGCCCGUACUGCUUUGGCAGUUCGCUGGCUUCUUAGAGGGACUAUCGGCUCAAGCCGAUGGAAGUUUGAGGCAAUAACAGGUCUGUGAUGCCCUUAGAUGUCCUGGGCCGCACGCGCGUUACACUGACAGGGCCAGCGAGUACCUCCUUGGCCGAAAGGCCCGGGUAAUCUUGUUAAACCCUGUCGUGCUGGGGAUAGAGCAUUGCAAUUAUUGCUCUUCAACGAGGAAUCCCUAGUAAGCGCAAGUCAUCAGCUUGCGUUGAUUACGUCCCUGCCCUUUGUACACACCGCCCGUCGCUACUACCGAUUGAAUGGCUCAGUGAGACCUCCGGACUGGCCCAGAGAGGUGGGCAACUGCCACUCAGGGCCGGAAAGCUGUUCAAACUCGGUCAUUUAGA
rnacentral:rRNA from 1 species